rnacentral:rRNA from 1 species
UACGUAGGGUGCAAGCGUUGUCCGGAAUUAUUGGGCGUAAAGAGCUCGUAGGCGGCUUGUCACGUCGACUGUGAAAACCCGGGGCUCAACUCCGGGCCUGCAGUCGAUACGGGCUGGCUUGAGUGCGGUAGGGGAGACUGGAAUUCCUGGUGUAGCGGUGAAAUGCGUAGAUAUUGGGAGGAACACCAGUGGCGAAGGCGGCUACCUGGACCGGUUCUGACGCUGAGGCGCGAAAGCGUGGGGAGCAAACAGG